AUACUUACCUGACAGGGGAGGCACCAUGAUCAUUUAGGUGGUCCUCCCAGGGUGAGGCUCAUCCAUUGCACUGCGGGUGGGUUGACCCCUGCGAUUUCCCCAAAUGCGAGAAACUCGACUGUAUAAUUUGUGAAUCUGGGGGACUGCGUUUUGCGCUAUCCCCCG
rnacentral:snRNA from 1 species